UCCCUCUAGAUUCUUUACCCAUUAGAUCUAUAUAUUGGUGUGAAUGGCAAACAAAAGAGGAAAAAUAAAACUAAAAUGGACUUGGAGUCUUUAGUGACAUACAAGUUCAUUUCAAACAUGU
rnacentral:snoRNA from 1 species